UACGUAGGGUGCGAGCGUUGUCCGGAAUUAUUGGGCGUAAAGAGCUUGUAGGUGGUUUGUCGCGUCUGCUGUGAAAAUCCGAGGCUCAACCUCGGACUUGCAGUGGGUACGGGCAGACUAGAGUGUGGUAGGGGAGACUGGAAUUCCUGGUGUAGCGGUGGAAUGCGCAGAUAUCAGGAGGAACACCGAUGGCGAAGGCAGGUCUCUGGGCCAUUACUGA
rnacentral:rRNA from 1 species